GGGGAGGUAGCUCAAUGGGAGAGCACCAGCCUGAAGAGCUGGGUGUUGAGGGUUCGAUUCCCUCCCUUCCCA
rnacentral:tRNA from 1 species